rnacentral:rRNA from 1 species
UACAGAGGUCCCAAGCGUUGUUCGGAUUCAUUGGGCGUAAAGCGUGCGUAGACGGUUACAUAAGUCGGGUGUGAAAGCCCCGGGCUCAACCUGGGAAUUGCAUUCGAGACUGCGUAGCUAGGGUGCGGAAGAGGGAAGCGGAAUUUCCGGUGUAGCGGUGAAAUGCGUAGAUAUCGGAAGGAACACCAGUGGCGAAAGCGGCUUCCUGGUCCAGCACCGACGUUCAGGCACGAAAGCGUGGGGAGCAAACAGG